rnacentral:rRNA from 1 species
UGCUUAGAGGUUAAGCCCGAUGAACCUGAAUAUCCAUUUUGGAAAAUUCAUCGCUUAGUACUAUAAUAUAUUUUAUUAUAUAUUAUGGGAAUAGUGUGCAAUUUUUCCAUAUAAGGACAUUGUAAUCUGUUAACGUAUAAAAAAAUAUUUAUCAAAAGAUCAUUAGCGUAUGUUUAUUCAAAUUGAUUUGUUCAUUCAAAUUAACAUAGAAUAAAUGCUUUUGAUUUGAUAAAGCGUUGACAAAUUUAUUAUAUAUAGUGCUCAAAUUCUUUGGAAUUUUACAAUGGCAUAUUAAUCUAUUGAUUUUUUGUGUCUAAUAUUGUAUGCACUUAUAUGAUUAACAAUGCGAUAGAUUCAGGAUACCUUCGGGACCCGUCUUGAAACACGGACCAAGGAGUCUAACAUAUGUGCAAGUCAUUGGGAUUAUUUUUAUAUAAACCCAAAGGCGUAAUUAACUUAACUUGUUAUAAUGGGAUUAGUUUAUGCUUUAUUUUAUAAAAUGUAAAUUCAAUCCCGGGGCGUUCUAUACAGUUAUGUAUAAUAAUAUUUAUAUUAUUUAUACCUCUAACUA